rnacentral:misc_RNA from 1 species
CAGCCUCUGUAAACUCUCUAAGCAUGUCAACCUCUACUUCAACCGCUCAACUAUUUCAAGAUUUUGUAGGGGACUUUUACUCAAGAAGAUUGCUACUACACACCCCCCUUUAUCAAUCACCAACUGCGGCAGCUCCUGCAGCUCCUGGAAAUGGUCACAAUCCAUCAGAAACUUACACCAGAGAUAACAAUUUCGACGCAAAUGUUGUUAUGGUCCUCUCAGUCCUCUUAUGUGCCCUGAUUUGCUCACUUGGAUUGAAUUCCAUCAUUAGGUGUGCAUUGAGGUGCUCCAAUUUGGUAGCUUCCCAGUCUGCUGGCGAUUCCUCAACUCGAUUAGCCAAUACAGGAGUCAAGAGAAAAGCAUUAAAGACGUUCCCAACAGUAAACUACUCAACUGACUUGAAGCUGCCUGGUCUGGACACAGAGUGUGUGAUAUGUCUUUCAGAGUUCACACCUGGUGAACGUGUACGCCUUCUGCCUAAGUGCAACCAUGGAUUCCAUGUCCGGUGCAUCGACAAGUGGCUCAGCUCACACUCAUCCUGCCCUACUUGCAGGCACUGCCUGAUUGAGACAUGCCAAAAGAUUGUUGGUUGCAACCAAGCUACCUCAUCAGAACCUCCACCAGUGCAAGAAAGCAUUGUGAACAUAGCACCACUAGAACCUGAAGGUUUGAUACUCAAUUACAGAGGAGUUAGUUAAGUAUAUUGUUUUUUCUUCAAUUGUAUACUCUGUUAGCUUAAGCUGAGCCUACAACUUGAAAGAUGGCACUAAAAGGCCUUCAUUUUUGUAGGUUAAAGACCACCAUUCCCAAGAAGUGUAGUGUAGAUGUAAAUGUGUACACGGUUUGAAGUCGUAACUUGUUUCAAUUUUUUCCUCCCUCAAUGUCAACUAAACUGUAAUUAUCUGCAAUUUCUAUAAAUACUUAACAAAAUUCCUA